AGGGUUCGAUUCUGGCUCAGGAUGAACGCUGGCGGCGUGCCUAACACAUGCAAGUCGAGCGAUUCUCUUCGGAGAAGAGCGGCGGACGGGUGAGUAACGCGUGGGUAACCUGCCCUAUACACACGGAUAACGUACCGAAAGGUACGCUAAUACGAGAUAAUAUGCUUUAGUCGCAUGGCUGAAGUAUCAAAGCUCCGGCGGUAUAGGAUGGACCCGCGUCUGAUUAGCUAGUUGGUAAGGUAAUGGCUUACCAAGGCGACGAUCAGUAGCCGACCUGAGAGGGUGAUCGGCCACAUUGGAACUGAGACACGGUCCAAACUCCUACGGGAGGCAGCAGUGGGGAAUAUUGCACAAUGGGCGAAAGCCUGAUGCCAGCAACGCCGCGUGAGCGAUGAAGGCCUUCGGGUCGUAAAGCUCUGUCCUCAAGGAAGAUAAUGACGGUACUUGAGGAGGAAGCCCCGGCUAACUACGUGCCAGCCGCGGC
rnacentral:rRNA from 1 species